UUACGCCCAUAUCACGUUGCAACACUGGUACCCGUACGAUUACCGAAGUUAAGCAACGUUGAGCCUAGUCAGUACCUAGAUGGGUAACCGCUUGAAAAUAACAGGUAUU